rnacentral:rRNA from 1 species
GUGCCAGCCGCCGCGGUAAUACCGGCAGCCCGAGUGAUGGCCGAUCUUAUUGGGCCUAAAGCGUCCGUAGCUGGCUGCGCAAGUCCGUCGGGAAAUCCACUCGCCCAACGAGUGGGCGUCCGACGGAAACUGUUCGGCUUGGGGCCGGAGGACCCGAGGGGUACGUCCGGAGUAGGAGUGAAAUCCCAUAAUCCCGCACGGACCACCGAUGGCGAAAGCACUUCGAGAAAACGGAUCCGACAGUGAGGGACGAAAGCCAGGGUCUCCAACCGGAUUAGAUACCCGAGUAGUCC